rnacentral:rRNA from 1 species
AGUCAAGUAAUUAAGUGCAUGUGGUGGAUGCCUUGGCAGUCAGAGGCGAUGAAAGACGUGAUAGCCUGCGAAAAGCUCCGGGGAGGCGGCAAAUAUCCUUUGAUCCGGAGAUGUCUGAAUGGGGGAACCCACCUACUUUAAGGUAGGUAUUGCAACAUGAAUACAUAGUGUUGCAAGGCGAACGAGGGGAAGUGAAACAUCUCAGUACCCUUAGGAAAAGAAAUCAAUUGAGAUUCCCUCAGUAGCGGCGAGCGAACGGGGAUCAGCCCAUUAAGUUAUGUGUGUUUUAGUGGAACGCUCUGGGAAGUGCGAACGUAGAGGGUGAUAUUCCCGUACACGAAAGGGCACACAUAAUGAUGACGAGUAGGGCGAGGCACGUGAAACCUUGUCUGAAUAUGGGGGGACCAUCCUCCAAGGCUAAAUACUCCUGACUGACCGAUAGUGAACCAGUACCGUGAGGGAAAGGCGAAAAGAACCCCUGUGAGGGGAGUGAAAUAGAUCCUGAAACCGCAUGCAUACAAGCAGUGGGAGCACCUUCGUGGUGUGACUGCGUACCUUUUGUAUAAUGGGUCAGCGACUUAUAUUCAGUAGCGAGGUUAACCGUAUAGGGGAGCCGUAGAGAAAUCGAGUCUUAAUAGGGCGUUUAGUUGCUGGGUAUAGACCCGAAACCAGGCGAUCUAUCCAUGAGCAGGUUGAAGGUUGGGUAACACUAACUGGAGGACCGAACCCACUGUCGUUGAAAAGCCAGGGGAUGACUUGUGGAUAGGGGUGAAAGGCUAAUCAAGCCUGGUGAUAGCUGGUUCUCCCCGAAAGCUAUUUAGGUAGCGCCUCGGACGAAUACCAUAGGGGGUAGAGCACUGUUUCGGCUAGGGGGUCAUCCCGACUUACCAAACCGAUGCAAACUCCGAAUA